UCUUUCUCCUCCCCUCUAGCAAAUGUAGCACAUCAGCGAAGUGAGAAGAGGCAUUGGGCUCUCCGGGCACAGUAGCAGUAAAAACUUGCUCCUCAGAGGCUGUCACAGCAAUGAAGCCCGGUGAUACACAGGGGAAGAAAGUAGCCAUUGUCGGAGGCGGUCUGGUGGGUGCAUUAAAUGCCUGUUUCUUUGCCAGACGAGGUUUCCACGUUGAUGUUUAUGAAGCCAGAGAAGAUAUCCGGGUGGCCAGAUUUGCCCGUGGCAGAAGCAUUAACUUGGCGCUCUCCCACAGAGGACGCCAGGCCCUCAAAGCUGUGGGGAUGGAGGACCAGAUUGUGUCCAAAGGCAUUCCUAUGCGGGCAAGGAGGAUACACACACCUACAGGGAAAAAGUAUUCAAUCCCCUAUGGGAAGAAGAACCAGUACAUUCUCUCUGUGGACAGAGCAAAUCUAAACAGAGAGCUGUUAACAGCUGCGGAGAAGCACUCCAACACUAAACUGUACUUUGGACACAAACUCCUGGAGUGCAAUGCAGAGUUAGGGACAUUAACUAUAAAAAGUUCUGACCAGCUGCCCAUGGAAGUCACUUAUGAUCUCAUUGUGGGAUGUGAUGGAGCCUUCUCAACCGUCAGAAAGCAGUUCAUGAGGCAAACGCGCUUUAACUACAGUCAUGAGUACAUUCCUCAUGGCUAUAUGGAGCUGACCAUCCCUCCCAAGGAUGGAGAUUUUGCCAUGGAACCAAACUACCUCCAUAUCUGGCCAAGAAACACCUUCAUGAUGAUUGCACUGCCUAACAUGGACAAGUCCUUCACCUGCACGCUCUUCAUGCCCUUCGAAGAAUUUGAGAAGCUCACAACUGGCAAGCAAGUACUGGAUUUUUUCCAGACCUACUUUCCAGAUUCAAUUCCCCUCAUUGGAGAGCGAGAGCUGAAGCGUGAUUACUUUUUGCUGCCAGCCCAGGCUAUGAUAUCUGUGAAGUGCUCUUCCUACCACAUUGCUUGCCGGUGUGUGCUGAUGGGAGAUGCUGCGCAUGCUGUUGUGCCCUUCUAUGGGCAAGGCAUGAACGCGGGCUUUGAGGAUUGUUUGGUUUUUGAUGAGCUAAUGGACCAGUUCCACAAUGACCUUGGUGUUUGCCUUCCCGAAUUCUCCAGGCUGAGGGUGCCAGACGACCAUGCGAUCUCAGAUUUAGCCAUGUACAAUUAUGUAGAGAUGCGAGAGCACGUGAAUUCAAUGUGGUUCAUUUUCCGAAAGCACAUAGACAACUUCCUCCACGCCCUCAUGCCUUCCACCAUCGUCCCGCUAUACACCAUGAUCACAUUCACCAGAAUUCGCUACCAUGAAGCACUGCAGCGCUGGAAGUGGCAGAAAAAGGCUCUGCGAGAGCUGGUCGCAGGCCCUGAGUGCUGGCAAGGAGGCACAUAUGCUUGCUUCAAGCGACUUGCACGUGUUUCACGUGGUGCCACAGGGUGGGAGCAAACUUCUGACAACACCUGGAUUUCUUCUUACACUUGCAGAAGGUCUUGCUGCUCUGAAGGAUGGGUGACGCAUUUCAGUGCCGUCUGGAUUCAGCCCUGCGACUUCAGCUGGUGCCUUGUGUUUGCGCACGUGGUGGCUUCCACAGUAAGCAGAAAUUGCUUGGAUAUUAUUUUUACAAGGAAUGUGAGUAUUAAAUUAUAGUGAGUAUUAAAUUGUAGUAAAUUUAGGCCCUAACUUAACUCAUCGAUAUUUCUGUCUUAGCCGCUGUCAUUUUAAAAGGGAAAUGUGUGCUUCGGAGUUGAUACGGGCGACUCCGGCGCGCCCGUGUCUGGCUCUGACUGUGCAUGUCCCCAUCCGCAUGCAGAGGCAGCUGGUGGAGCACGGGGUUUUCUCCGCGCUCCCACGCUCGGCUGUGCCGUGAGCGCCCCGCUCCCUUUGGGCACCCGCUGCCGGUGUCGUGCAACAGCUGAGCUGCCCGAGGACCAGAAGGGACCCUUGGGCGCGGGUGCCGACGCCGAUGCUUCCCCCAGCGGGAGCAGGGCCACCGCCGUGUCUUUGCGGUUGUACCCCGCACAGCCGUCCCCCCUGCCAGUGGCCUCCGGGCCACCCGGUGGCUGUGACUUCCUGCGCUGAGGUUGUGCUCAGCGCUUGCCGCACCACGUGGGCUGCACCGCAAGGUCUGACACAGGGCGUCCAAACCGGGCGGCAUUUCCCCGCCUGAAAGAGGAACUCCCCUGGCUGCCCUUCCGCGGGUGCUGCCAGCGCUCCCCCGCUGCAGGGAGGGCGGGAGAAGGGCCAUGGGGGUCCCAGGGAGGAAAAUUGGGGCCCGGCUGGCUGUGGCCCAGCUCCGGCCAGCUCCGAAGGAGGCUCCUUCCCGUGGAGGGAACGGGGGCAGAGCUGGUGGGGAAGUGCUGAGCUUUUCUUGCUGAAGGAAAUGAUGCAGUUUCAAAUCCAGAUUGAGAAACUUUGCAUGAGUACUUACUUUCUUGCCUUGUGGUUUUGCCAAGGUCAGAUUUCACCCAGUUUGCACCCCUCCCUCCAGUUCUCCUCCUCUAAAAAGGGGCACUCCCCCCUAAAAAACAAAUGUGGGAAGAAGCGUGAAGGGAGCACGGGUUCCCAGCAAACAGAAAAAUAGCCAUCCAGAAAGUUUCCUCUUUCUUACUGGGGCAUAGGAGCCUCCACGCAUCUCUGAGCCUGGUCCUCUCCUGUCAGAGAGGUUCAGUGGCCUUUCUUGGGUAAUACUUGCCACAUCGCCCUGGCAAGAGUUACAGGGGGUGACUGCAGGUGGACAUACCCACAGGGGCUGCCACCACCGGCCACGGUCUUCUCCAUGGCCUGCCAAGGGCUUGCUGCAGCGGGCACGAGCCAGGAGGACGGGCACAUCUGAGUCUGUACAGAGCUGCUGUGGCACGUAUGCUACAGGGCACGGGUCAUUUGUGUCCUAGGAAUGCCUGUCUCCUCUUGUCUCCUUGGGAAGGCCAACGGAGGGAAGGGGAGAGGCUUCCUCUAGCGGCAUUUUGUAGGGUUCAGCUUGCCAGCAUGGCUAGUAACAGGCUGGCUCUCGCACGAGAGCACAGGGCAAGGAGAAAGGACAGGGUGUUGGCAUCAGACCUGUAUCAUGCUCUGCUCUGCGGGGGUGGUGGUGGGCCAGGACGUGAUGCUGUGGGUGUGGGGGUUUGACCAGGGAGCUGUGGAGGCAAUUGCACAGGUCCUACAAGUGUGCACAGAAGGACUCCCAGCACGUCCCCCAGUACCCCUCCAAACUCCUCAACUGCUUGCUAUCCUAAAGCCACCGCUCCUGCUGUUACACUAGUGUUUUAAAGCAUGAUGGAGAUCUUGUUCUUCACAAGCAUUUUCCUAGUGCAAGUUGUCCUAGAUGCUCACACUGUUCGCUUCUUGCCCUAGGAGACACGUCUCCUGGAAAUUUAUGCUAUCCAUACAGGUGGCUAAAUUAUUUUCAGGGAUCACCAAAAAUGCUAGGUGGAAAGUAAGCAGAAUGCAGCAUCCCAGACCGUGUCAGAGGACAUGGUGGAGGUCUGUUUCUCCUAUUCGUAACUCGCUGAGGCAGGAGCAAGUUGGAUUUUAAAACCGCAUUGGUCGGGCUCUAGGGCUAAUAUGAGACCACACCUUUCCUCAUAUGGCCACCUUAGCCUGCACAAGGAACAGUGUUUUUAUGAUGGUGUUGAUGAAAUCAUGGUCAUUAGCACUGUUGUGUCUCGUAAGGGCUUGCUCCCAGCAUAGCCAAGGAGCAGAGUUGUGUCCCGGCAGAGCAGUGUCCACCCUUACGGCAUGGACUCACACAGGGAAGUAAGAAAAGAGGAAUUUGUUGAAAGAGGAAAAAGGAAUAAAAAAGCAUAAAGGAACAAUGAGCACUGCCCUUUUUAGAAGUAUUAGACACAGCAUGAGAAAAACAGGUCAUAGGUUUUGAAAUAGCUCUUACAUUGCCCUGAGCCACAAAUAAACACUCCCUGGUUCCCUGCAAACAUUGACUGCCCUGCCCCAUGACUCUGCCAAACAGAGGGCUGAGCUUAGCAGCUACCAAACUUAACAGCUCUGAAUAAAAAGGAAAUGAGAAAACAAGAGAAACCUUCAAAAGGCAUUAAGGCCAAACCAGUAUAUAUGGCUGCUCAGAUCUGUUUCUGAGGCAUAAUGAUUUUUUUUUAGCUCAUCAGCCACUGUAAGAUACCCGACACAUUAAUAAUAUUGCAGGUCAAGAAUGACACUGGUCAACUGUAGACCAUCUUCCUUGAAAAAGGUCUGUUUUUCUCCUGAGGGUAGAAAGAAGAACAGUUGCACUCUUUGAGCUAGAGGAGUCUGGUAAAAAGGUUUGCGGAGAGGGAAGGUGAUACAUAGCUGUCAUUUUCUCUCACAAAGUGAGGUUUGCAGAGUAAAGCCCAGCUGUGUUAUGGGCCUUGCAGAUGUGACAGGACCCUUCUGGCCCAUUAGCAAACCUGUCUCCUCUAGCACUAGCUGGCUUCCAUCGUUGCUUAUGGCAGAGUUGGUCUGGAUGUAAAGAUUUGCAGCCAUAGGAAGCCCACCCUGUCCCCCAGCAGUGCCAGGGGACACAGCCCAGCUGCCACCACCCCUGCGGACACAGCCCAGAACCUCACGCUGCUGUGUCUGGCUGUGGCCAGCCUCUCGUGGCUAAAGAGAGCCCUCUUUCAGAGACACCUUCUGGGGACCCAGCUCUUUCACAUAAUCCAUCACAUCCUUUGGUAAGUUUUUAAGGGCAUCGUCUAUCUUCACGGUUGAAAAGUCCCACCAGCCUCUAGUCUGCAUGGGUCUGGCUCCAGCUUCAGCCAUGACAUCCAGAUCACUGAAAAAACUCAGAGAUCAAAACUCUUUCACCUCUGUAGAUCCUUACAGGUCACAACCUAAUCACCACCUCAUCAGCUUCUUAAGCUGAAAGGUCGAACAGCCUCAGUCUCCUGCUGUAAUGUUUUCCAGUAACCACUGUAAUGCUUUUCCAGCGUGUCAACAACCUCCUUGAAGUGUGUACAGCAGAGCUGGAUGGUUAGAAGACCACACUGAGCUGACAGUGGACUCAGCUCCAUGGGAUCCUGCCUGGGCUGUGCGAGCAGCGAGUCUUUGGCUCCCCUCUGAGUUACUGAUUUCCCCAAAUGGGAAACAUGCAGCCUGUUCCUAAUAGAGGAACUUGUGUUUAGCUAUUUUAAACAUCAUGGUAAGGUGUGAACUGAGCCUGUGUCACAGCAUGGUCUUCAUCAUUCUUUAGAAGUGAUCAGCACUUGGGGUUGUUGGCUGGCCGGACACAUUUGUGUCACCUCCAAAUUCUGCCAGCACUGUGUGAGCUUAUAGAAAAUGGGUGAAAGCUCUUAAAACAGGGUGGAGAGCAGGUGCCUGCUGGACCCCCUCUAUCCAGGCUACAUGGCCCUGAGCGCUGACUUCGAUCACUCAUGUUUUAAGGCCGGCUAUUUGCGAUGGAGGGGGAGUAUGCACGGCGUUGUGUAUGCAGCCUGGGCACCCUGAAUACUCCUCUUCAGCAUGGUUAGCUUCCCCAGCCGGACUUGAAAGAUCUUCCAACAGGAGCGCCACAUUUCUUGGCAAGACCUGCUUUCUGUACAACUAUAUUUAUUAUUCUGUUUACUGUAUUUAUGGCUUUCAUUUGAUAUUGAGUGUUCCUUGUAUCUGCUUUGCCCUGAGUUUCUCCUGGACUAAUUUCAGGGUCACUGGCGGGGAGUUUUCCAGGGCAAUCAAUUUUCCUCUUGACAUACUAGCACAGCACUGAUGUUGCCCAGUCCUCUAGUUCUUUCUUAACUUUCCAAAACGUAUGAAAUACUAACAGCAGUGGCUCAGAGACACCCCCACCCAGGAUUUUAAGAAUAUUGGGUGGAACUGAUGUGGUUCUGCUAAUUUAGAAAAGCACUUGCUGAUUAACGCCUGUAGUUCCCCCACCAGAGAAACCCUCCCAGGCCUGCAGUAAGCCGCAGCUGCUUCUUUCAAGGUAAGACAAAUGUUUAUUUCUUUUCUCUUUCCUGCAGUAUUAAUGGCUAUUUACCCUCCCCACCUUUGUAAAUACUACUAGUAGAGAUCUUUUCUGAUACAAAUGCACUGAGAUGCAGUGGGAAAAGGCAUUUUCCACGACUUGGCAGUCAGCAGCUUAUUAGAAGCACCCUGGGCCUGGGGAUGCAGAGAGCGUUGUGAUGCUGUAUGGCUGCAAAACCCUGCGAGCAGCAAGAGAAGGGACUCAGGACCAGGAAAAUGGUUUCUCUCCAAGUAAGAACUACCAGUGCUGAGAGGAGGGAAGAGCAAAGCUUCCCGUAGAGUCUCUCCCUCCCUUGUUUCCUGUAGCGGUCACAUGAUUGACACACUAAAUGUGCCUAAGUAGGCUCCAUCACUUCCACAAACCAUUGCCUAGAGCUGCCUGCUGCUGCUGAGCUGCUUCUUUUCUUUGUUUCCACAGGUUAAGUACUAUUUUAAAAGGUGAAGUAAAGGCCUGUGCAUGUUCCCCUGCUGUUUUUUGCCUCUGUGUAAAGCUGGCCUAGCUCUGGGGGAGUAGAGCUGCUGCAAGAUGAAGGAAUGUAAGCACACCCUGAUACUAGGAGAGAACAACGGAAGAAAGCUUACCACUUCUUUUUCUUCUCCUGUGAAGGGAAAUUAUUCACUGUUAUGUGGGUAGAUGUGUGUAUGUGUGAUUCAGGGUGACUUUCAAACGGAACAAAUUGGGCUUCUGCUUUUGUCUACCUCCUUACAGCGGUCAGAGAAGGGUAAAACAGGUUUUCUGUUUGAUUACCUGCAUUAGCAGUUCAGACUCAGCCUGGCCCCAGCAGAGUUUACUCCGACCCCCUUUGCAAUCUCUCCUUCGCUCAGUCCUGUGCCUGUACUGCACUGGCCAGCCGUGGCCCCUCAGCUGCUACUGGCAGCUUUUCCCUAAUUCCUUGGCAGCCUCUCCCUUUGCGUGUCCUCACACGGUGCUGGAGCCGGGAGGGUAUUUGGCUGCGGCUGACAAAGCCGUGGGGCGUUUGCCGACCAGCAGAGCCUGCCCGUGGUGAGCGGGGAAGGUACCUGGGCGCCAGGUCUGGGGGCUGCAGGGCUGUGGCCUGCUGUUCCCUGCUUGUGGUGCCCCAGCUUGGUCUCCGCUCUGUUCCCUUUCAUGGAAACCCUCUUCCCCAGAUGUGGUCUGCCCGUGUUUUUUUUUGUUUUUUUUUUUAAAUGUAAAAUAAGACAAGGCUUCUUCCUAGCAGGAGGUGUUGGAGGGCAAGCACGCUAGUUCAACCCUCAAAGCAGGGAGACUGUAAAUAGUCCACCCUCCUGCCCUGGUGCCAGCUCCCGGGGCAGGUCAGCCGCAGACCCAGAGCCACGUGCCAGAGUGGGACACAGAUGCUGAGCCAGAGAGCAGCCCUGCUGAGUGGCGGGGGGCAGACGAAGGGGCCUCCCUGUGCCAGGAGGGGUGCAGGGGAAACCGGACCUGAAGAUGAGGUAGGAAAGCAGCAGAGAGCUCAGGGGACCCUGCAGUCCUGGUGGUGAUGAUCACAAGUCACCUUGGCAGGGAACGAGAGGCUGGAAAGCACUGUGGUCUCCACGGCCAUUGAAAGCAAGAGGGGGACAAGCAGCAUAGGAGACCAGGGAGAAACGAGAUGAUGGAGCAGAGGUGCACAAAAGCAGCCAAAAGGGUGCUGUAGCGGGGGCAAAGCUGGGUGUUAGAGGCUAGGAGGAGAAGCAGCAUCCUUAAAACACCUGCACCUGAACCAUCACAUAUCAAGAAGUCAUGGAAGGCUGUAGCCUGAAGCUGUACGGAGGUGUAUGCGCAAUUGUUUCCAUGUUCCCUGAAAUCGGCCACCUCUCAGAUGCGGCUGCCUCGCUGGCUGCGAAGGGAAAGGGAGCUCUGAGGCACAGUUCACCCAGCCAGGGCUACGAGGUGGCGGCGGGGUGAAGAGGCUGCACCCCAGGCCCGGGGUCCUAUGUAUAAACUGUUGACUGCUGGGCUGCGAGCUCCUCGCCAUGCCUUGGGUGGCUCCAGGCACCCUGUGUGACAGACGCCCGGGACUGGGGUGCCGCUUCGCAGGGAGCCCUUUGGAGAAGCCACCAGAGAGCUGAAGGGUGUUAUGUUUACGGAGCUUCUCUUGCUCGCCCUGUUUGGUAAGUGUGGCAUGGCUUGGUCAUGGAAAGAUGCUCCUAAAGGGUUUGCAAGCCAGAAAAUCCGAAGGCGACCUCGGAGGAAGCACACAGGGAAAGGCUGGGUGCUGUUGUCUCGCAGGCUCGCAGAGGCUGCAGGUAGGGAGCAAACCUUGUGCAUCCCAGCGUUUACAGGGGCGCUGGGCUCAGCGGAGCCGAGGGCAGAGUGGAGGCGCGAGGCAUCUUGCAACGCACUGGGAUGUCUCUGAGCCCCUGGGGUCAGGCGGAUGCAAUAGGUCAGGGCAGGUUUCUUUCCAGCGGGUGCUGCACAGCACGGCGAAACGAGUCAGGCUUUAUAAAUAGGGUUGAAGGGGAAAUGUUGAGGCUUGCAGCAAUUUCACUGCUAUAAAUAAUAGACAAGCAUUCAAAAAUGGAGGUGGGUCUUGCAGUCUUUUAGCCACAACUCUCCUUUGCUGCGUUGCUAAAUAUCGAUGUUUUCUUGCAAAGUGGAAGGCUGCAGUCUCAUGCCUAGUAUCUGAAUAAGCCUCUUUGAGUGCUUGUGUCGUCUGUUUGCAAUGGUGAGGUGCUGCUAGGUGCAACCACCGAUGCCUUGAUGCUCUUGGGAUGCUUCCUCAGUGCUCCAACGUUUCCAUACGUCCCUGGCACUGUGCCACCCUACAGCCGUCCUGCUGUGACGGAGACGCUGGGCAUCGCAAGCAGCAACUGUGCUGCUUUUCUUUCAUUCUGGGUGGCCCCAGCUUCUGUGUGCUGGAUAUAACGAAGCUGCGUGGUGUAUAGCGGGGAAGGGAAAGUGGAUGUUACUUCACCUGCUGCCAUUUCUUCUUCUGCUUAGUUGUGCAGUUCUGGUAAUUUCCAUGAAGGCAGCAGCCACGCACAGGCUUUCCCUCUGCCUGAGGCACCGAUAUGCCAGACCUUACAGAAUAUGACACAAUGUGUAUAUAUGGGUUUAUGCAUACAUAUGUAUGCAUACAAAAGUCUAUGUUUGUACCUCCCUAUAUGGGGCCUUGCAGGGUCUGCCUGGAGCGCUGAUCCCAGUCUCCUGUUGUCACUGCUCCUGAUGUCCUGUGGCACUUGUUACAGAUUAACCAGGGAUGUAUUUACCUAAAUCUGCCUUGCUGAGUCCUGUUCUCUUCUUGUAAGUACAAAUGGUCGCAAUGUGGACAAGUAUCCUAGAGUCACAGAGAUCCUCCAAGCUGCAUCUGCCACUUCCUACGCUCCCACCGCAACCUCUGGUCCAGGCGCAGGUUAGAAAAGCAGGGCGAUGACUGCUCAGGAUCCCUCGCCAAACCGCCGGCAGUGAAAAGCUGCUUGCUCUCAAGAUGUGUUUGUGUGGGGAGCGUUUUCCUUCCAGCAGCUGCAGGGCGUUUAGGGGAACAGACCGUGGGAUGAAUGCUCUCCGGUGCACUUCGCAAGCCUCCAGGCCCUGGGGCUUUCCAGACAUUUGGGAGCAGUGGUGCCCGUUUCUCGCGUCUCCAGCUGCUUUUCCAAUGAUGUGAGCCUUGCAGCCUCCUCCCAGCAGGCACCACCCGCCCCUUUCAGCGAUGGCACCACAAGCCGGGCUGCUCGUCCCUAACCGCGUGGACACGCAUGACCGAGCCUCCUGCCUGGACAUCAGCCCCAACCGCUGCACUGCAAGUGCCGUGAGAGCUCGACAUCCAGCCCAGGACACUCGUCCUGAGCAACCUUCGCUGCGGCGCGAUCCUAGCCCAGCGGGUCAUGCGGGAAUCGCUGGCUACGGGUCUCAGUGUCGUGUUGUAUGGAGGUGACAGGAGGUGUCACCACUGUCCCCUCCAGCCUUUUGGACAGUGAAUUGAGUUAUUUGUUUCUCUGAGAAAAUAAGUCAUUCUGUACCACGCUCUUGCACACCCUGAAAUCAUUUGCAAUAGAAAUAGCAAUGGGAUGGAGGGCACAGGCAAAGUGCAAAACCACUGAGCAAAGCAGGAUGUGACAACCAUGGCAGAGCAAUACAACACUUACAGCUUUCGCACACUUUUUAGAAGUCAUAUGCGCCUGCAUGAGCUGUAGGGUGAGAUACCUCUGUGAACGUUCACACGUUUGCUUUUCAUCUGCCUGAGAGGCUGGGAGUUGGGUCUGUGGCAUUUUCAAAUGCAUCAGAGCCAGAGGUCAGUGUGGUCUUAAACAGCCUGAGGCUGAAAUUAAGAAUAACUGUUCUCUCCAGCCUUUCCAUUACACUUGGGCUAUAUUUCAUGUACCCUAAAUUUCUUCUUUGCUGCGUUAGACAGCAAACUUUUGCCUAUGUAAAAGAGACUUUGCAAAGCACUUGCUCUCGCCCAGGGUUAGUUUGCCUGCAGUGGUCUGUCAUCUUCCCAGCCUCUGCGAGGGGACAGCCUGCCUGCCCAGGACACGAGUGUCCCCAGGACAGGAGGCCUUGCCCCUUCCUGCUCUGGAUUUUCAGUCAGUAUCAGCAUAUAAUUUGGUGUCAGGUGAAGGGGGAGAAGAGCAAGGGGCUCGUCCCCUCCUCUAGCUCUUCUUCCAGGGCUCGCGUAGGCAAAGGUACCCUAAUUUAGCAAGUCCCGACGCAAUGUGAAUCUGGUGGCAGGCAGGGGUCCCAGUGGCACUGCCACUGACCCCUUCUUAUGGCAAAGCCGGGCUCGUUCCCAGGUACGAGCUGUGACAGAGGAAGGAUCUGGGCUCUCAGGGGUUCGGGGCUGGGUUCUGCCCCGCACCCGCAUGGCGCGUAGGACGUCGGGGAAGGUCCCGCGUGUGCACUCGCGCACACCAACGUGAUCGCGUGUCGGAGGUGAGACCGAAGCUGAACUUCCCAGCAGCUGGACCCUCGCGGCACUCACGCCGCGCCCCGAUUCAAGGGUUAGUUCCUUGUUCCCAUAUGAGCUGUUACAUCCUGCAGUUGCUUUGCAUGUAUCUGUACGCUAGCGUCAGAGUCAGCCCAGAAGGGAGAAACGCUGUCUGUUUGUCCUCCGACAUGCAGGACCCCACCAAGACACGGAGACAGCAACUGUGGCCCGCAUAUGCCCUAAAAGGAGAUUUCCCAAGCUUGGGGCGAAUCCUCCUUUCAUCCUCGCCGGGGGCAGAAGUGGGUCUGCUCUAAAGCCAGGUCAGCCCUCGCAGCCUGCUCUGUCGCCAGUUCCUACGUGGGCGGCUGAUGCCAGCCCGCCGCUUCUGUGCUGCUGGCUCUCCCGUCCACCCCUCGUCCCAGCCCUCUCCUUCGGCCGUGCUCGCCGCGGCGGCUGCGUCUGCCCCAUGCUGCUCUAUGAGCCUCCUCGGCAGCCAUUUCCACCUGUGCCGAGGGAUGCGAUGGGGCACCUCAGGUCAGCGCAGCAGCGAGUUGUACCCUCUCUAUUCUGGUUUCCAGGCCUACAGGAGGGUGAUGAAGGUGCUCUGUUGGGUUGGACACCCUGCACUUCAGUAACAAUCUGCAGUUCCAGGCUUACUUCUACCCCCAAAAGCAAAAAAACUACAGAUCAGUCAAGCCUGUCUUCGCAAAGACUGUGCUAGAUCAACCAUCACUUUGAAAGAGUAAGGAAGGAGCACUGUGGCAAUGCACUGACCUCCAAUAAACAUCUAAGGACUCAAGUGUCCACUUCUCGAGAGAUUAGAUCAAACAGUAUAAAAGAAAUUCAUUGGAAACACCAUAAGCAUGCAGACUUCCUUGCCCCCCGGCUGCCUCUUCCUGAAAAGAAGGAAUAUUUAUUAUAUUCACCUUGCAU